UUGCGAUCAUGGCUCUCCACAAUUUAGCGGUUCCCGUACGAUCCCCGAAGUUAACCAACGUCGAGCCUGGCCACUACCUAAAUGGGUGACCGCUUGAGAAUACCAGAUGCUAU